CAAAGAAUAGUUUAAUUUGCAUGAACUCUGGCUUUGGGUGCCUGUAGUGGGGGUUGAAGUCCCUCUUCUUUGA
rnacentral:tRNA from 1 species